rnacentral:lncRNA from 1 species
UAAAGUCUUAGCAUACUGUUUUCUGUUUGGUAGGUUUCUCAUAAUAUUUCUUGAGUAAGUUGCCAAAUGUCCUGAUUCUCUCCAUGGUUCCUAUUAAAUGUGAGAAAUAAUAAGUUUCGUCACUAGUUUAAGAGUCAGUAUCUCAAAGAGGAAGAUCCAUUUCCUCCUUCUGAAUAGCAAGUUCAUAUGAAACAGAACAAAUUACUUUUUAAACUGAAAAACAUAUUUGCACAACCAUAGCUCCUUAUUUGCCCUGCCUACAUGUCUUCUCCUCUUUUUAAAGAAAAUCAGUUAUUUGGUUUCUAAUUCAUAUCCCUCACUAGAGAAUGGACAGAAUAGCAGCAUGGCUAGUCUAAGAUACCAUCUCCCACAGUCCUUUGCAUUUUCUAAGACUCCUUUAUUUUUCUUAAGCUUGCUCUGCUAGAGACAGUGACAGUAUACAGCUGCCCGGAUCAUUGUAAAUCCUGCUGUAAUCAAAUAAGAGAAAACCCUCACACCUGAGAAAGGAAAACCACUGAUUUCACAUUCCUUUUCAAGAAGCAUCAUGGAACUCUGUGGCCCAGUCCAUGUAGCUCACCUAUACAUGGCACAUUUCUCAAUAAUGCUGGGGAGAGAGGUGUCCAACACAGAGUUGCAGGAGAUAUCUUCCCCUAGACAUGGUUUGUGCAAGAGCCCUGGGCUGGGAGUCAGAAGCGUGCAUGCUUCUGGCUGUGGAAGGAGGCUCUGUCUGCUUAUCCUCCACCCCUGGGCUCACCCAGAGCCUAGAACACAGGAAAGAUCUUCAUAAGCCAGUGCAGCGCUUUUGGUGGAGGCCGACAGAAUCUGGACAGUUGUCUCUCUGAGGCUAACAUCCUUCUGUCUAAUGGUCCAAACACUGCUUUCCAGGUGCUCUUUUGACACAACAUCCCAAUUGAAGUGGCUGCCUCCAUGGUGAGUUAAGUGAAUACAGCGUUCAUGAAGGCCCUAUGUUUGUCUUCCUUUCUAGACUCGAUUUCCCUCACAUAAACCAAGUACUUAGUUGCCUCCACAGUUCUAUCACAUAAAAAAUUCUGAAAAAUUAAUUUCCACUAGGAUGCUAAUCACACAGUAGAGUUCAGCAUGAAGGAGUAUUUAUUUUUCAACAGAUAAAUGAAGAAAUAAGAUGAUUUUUAAUCCAAAGAUCUAAAUUGCUAACUCCCACUGUAGCUAUUUCUCAAAAUAUGCAUGUACUAAUUAAUAAACUGUUCUAUGUAUGCA